GAGUUUGAUCGUGGCUCAGAUUGAACGCUGGCGGCAUGCCUUACACAUGCAAGUCGAACGGCAGCACGGGAGCUUGCUCCUGGUGGCGAGUGGCGAACGGGUGAGUAAUGCAUCGGAACGUAUCCUGGAGUGGGGGAUAACGUAGCGAAAGUUACGCUAAUACCGCAUAUUCUGUGAGCAGGAAAGCGGGGGACCUUCGGGCCUCGCGCUCUUGGAGCGGCCGAUGUCGGAUUAGCUAGUUGGUGAGGUAAAGGCUCACCAAGGCGACGAUCCGUAGCAGGUCUGAGAGGAUGAUCUGCCACACUGGAACUGAGACACGGUCCAGACUCCUACGGGAGGCAGCAGUGGGGAAUUUUGGACAAUGGGGGCAACCCUGAUCCAGCCAUGCCGCGUGAGUGAAGAAGGCCUCGGUUGUAAGACUCUUUCGUCGAGGAGGAAAGUUAGUCACCGGACGAAUACCUAGGU
rnacentral:rRNA from 1 species